GUAUAUAUAGCUCAGUGGUAGAGCAUAUGCUUAGCAUGCAUGAGGUCCUGGGCUCAAUCCCCAGUACUUCCU
rnacentral:tRNA from 1 species